GACGAACGCUGGCGGCGUGCUUAACACAUGCAAGUCGAACGGAAAGGCCCUGCUUUUGUGGGGUGCUCGAGUGGCGAACGGGUGAGUAACACGUGAGUAACCUGCCCUUGACUUUGGGAUAACUUCAGGAAACUGGGGCUAAUACCGGCUAGGAGCUCCUGCUGCAUGGUGGGGGUUGGAAAGUUUCGGCGGUUGGGGAUGGACUCGCGGCUUAUCAGCUUGUUGGUGGGGGAGUGGCUUACCAAGGCUUUGACGGGUAGCCGGCCUGAGCGGGUGACCGGCGACAUUGGGACUGAGAGACGGCCCAGACUCCUACGGGAGGCAGAAGUGGGGAAUAUUGCACAAUGGGCGGAAGCCUGAUGCAGCAACGCCGCGUGCGGGAUGACGGCCUUCGGGUUGUAAACCGCUUUCGCCUGUGACGAAGCGUGAGUGACGGUAAUGGGUAAAGAAGCACCGGCUAACUACGUG
rnacentral:rRNA from 1 species